UACGUAGGGGGCGAGCGUUGUCCGGAAUUAUUGGGCGUAAAGCGCGCGCAGGCGGCUCCUUAAGUCUGGUGUGAAAGCCCGCGGCUCAACCGCGGAGGGUCAUUGGAAACUGGGGAGCUUGAGUGCAGGAGAGGAGAGUGGAAUUCCACGUGUAGCGGUGAAAUGCGUAGAGAUGUGGAGGAACACCGGUGGCGAAAGCGGCUCUCUGGCCUGUAACUGACGCUGAGGCGCGAAAGCGUGGGGAGCAAACAGG
rnacentral:rRNA from 1 species